rnacentral:rRNA from 1 species
GACGUAGGGCGCGAGCGUUGUCCGGAUUUAUUGGGCGUAAAGAGCUCGUAGGCGGCUUGUCGCGUCGACUGUGAAAUCCCGCGGCUCAACUGCGGGUCUGCAGUCGAUACGGGCAGGCUAGAGUUCGGUAGGGGAGACUGGAAUUCCUGGUGUAGCGGUGAAAUGCGCAGAUAUCGGGAGGAACACCAAUGGCGAAGGCAGCUCGCUGGGACGUUACUGACGCUGAGACGCGAAAGCGUGGGGAGCAAACAGG